UACGUAGGUGGCGAGCGUUAUCCGGAAUUAUUGGGCGUAAAGAGUGAGUAGGCGGUUUAAUAAGUCUAAGGUCAAAGGCUGUGGCUCAACCAUAGUACGCUUUAGAAACUGUUAAGCUAGAGUGCGAGAGAGGUUGAUGGAAUUCCAUGUGUAGCGGUGAAAUGCGUAGAUAUAUGGAGGAACACCAGUGGCGAAGGCGGUCAACUGGCUCGUAACUGACGCUCAGUCACGAAAGCGUGGGGAGCAAAUA
rnacentral:rRNA from 1 species